AGAGCGAACGCUGGCGGCAGGCCUAACACAUGCAAGUCGAGCGCCCGUAGCAAUACGGGAGCGGCAGACGGGAUAGUAACACGUGGGAACGCGCCCUUCGGUUCGGAAUAACUCAGGGAAACUUGAGCUAAUACCGGAUACGCCCUUACGGGGAAAGAUUUAUUGCCGAAGGAACGGCCCGCGUCCGAUUAGCUAGUUGGUGAGGUAAUGGCUCACCAAGGCGACGAUCGGUAGCUGGUCUGAGAGGAUGACCAGCACCACUGGGACUGAGACACGGCCCAGACUCCUACGGGAGGCAGCAGUGGGAAUAUGGACAAUGGCGCAAGCCUGAUCCAGCCAUGCCGCGUGGAUGAUGAAGGCCUUAGGGUUGUAAAGUCCUUUUAACGGGAAGAUAAUGACGGUACCCGUAGAAUAAGCCCCGGCUAACUUCGUGCCAGCAGCCGC
rnacentral:rRNA from 1 species